rnacentral:lncRNA from 1 species
CACCCUUUUGUCGAAAAAUAUAAUUCCUUGCUUGCUGUUGUUGGUUGAGUUGCAGGCUGCACCUAGGGAGGGGAAGAGAAUGAGAUAGAUGCUAAGUCAUCAAGAUACAUAUGUCAUGUGCGUGCACUUACUGAUGUGGCAUAUGCGCGCGGACCAUUCGGUUCGGUUCGAUUCAACUGGUACAUGUAUGUAAGUGGCAUAUUUCUUGUGCUUAUAAACAAUCUGAUUCGGUGGGUGCGUCUUAAUAUAUGACUAGUUGUGAGCACUAAGCUAAGCAUCUAUUCUAUUUUCUUCUUUUUUUAACUAGUUGUGUUUACCGGCAGGGCAAGCAAAGCCGAUCAAAGGCCGUUAAUUGGGCUGAAUUUACUUUUUUUUUUUUUUGCUGGAGCAGCUGUCGGUGACGUUCUUGGAUGGAGAGAUGGAGAAAUGGAAGAGAGGGAUGGAUAUUCUGACGGACAGCAUAUCCAUGCCGUCGUCGAUCAGUCACCACUCACCAGAUGGUUAACUAUAGUUAGCUACUGCAUACCUAUAGCUAGACUAGAUAGGCACGCCAAAGUCUCAGGCUGGUCAUAGUGAGGAGUAACUUAGACUAGUGUCAUAUGCAUGACAUUAGUCUAAGUUACUAUUUUCAUAGUGCAAAGUAACAUAGUACUAGUGUCAUAUGUGGCCUCAUUUAAUAGCUUGUAGACUCAUGUUGUCUUGGAAAGCGCUAUGUUACGGUAACAUAUUAUGUUACUACUUCUCAUUAACUACUUGCCACAUAAGCAAAAAAUUCUCGAGG